rnacentral:rRNA from 1 species
ACGGAGGGUGCAAGCGUUGUCCGGAUUUAUUGGGUUUAAAGGGUGCGUAGGUGGCCUUAUAAGUCAGUGGUGAAAGCCUGCAGCUUAACUGUAGGACUGCCAUUGAUACUGUAAGGCUUGAGUACUGAUGAGGUAGGCGGAAUUGAUAGUGUAGCGGUGAAAUGCAUAGAUAUUAUCAAGAACACCGAUUGCGAAGGCAGCUUACUAAGGAGUUACUGACACUGAGGCACGAAAGCGUGGGGAUCAAACAGGAUUAGAUACCCUGGUAGUCCACGCCAUAAACGAUGAUUACUCGAUGUAUGCGAUAGACUGUAUGCGUCCAAGCGAAAGCGUUAAGUAAUCCACCUGGGGAGUACGACCGCAAGGUUG